rnacentral:rRNA from 1 species
UACAGAGGUGGCAAGCGUUGUUCGGAAUUACUGGGCGUAAAGGGCGCGUAGGCGGCCCGUCAAGUCCCGUGUGAAAGCCCCCGGCUCAACCGGGGAACUGCGUCCGAUACUGGAUGGCUUGAGGUUGGGAGAGGGAUGCGGAAUUCCAGGUGUAGCGGUGAAAUGCGUAGAUAUCAUGAGGAAUACCAGAGGCGAAGGCGGCUACCUGGACAAUUGCUGACGCUCAGGCACGAAAGCGUGGGGAGCAAAAGGG